CACGUAGGGGGCGAGCGUUGUCCGGAUUUAUUGGGCGUAAAGAGCUCGUAGGCGGUUCGGUAAGUCGGGUGUGAAACCUCCAGGCUCAACCUGGAGACGCCACCUGAUACUGCUGUGACUAGAGUCCGGUAGGGGAGUGUGGAACUCCUGGUGUAGCGGUGAAAUGCGCAGAUAUCAGGAAGAACACCAGCGGCGAAGGCGGCACUCUGGGCCGGUACUGACGCUGAGGAGCGAAAGCGUGGGUAGCAAACAGGAUUAGAUACCCUGGUAGUCCACGCCGUAAACGUUGGGCACUAGGUGUGGGUCUCAACCAACGAGAUCCGUGCCGCAGCUAACGCAUUAAGUGCCCCGCCUGGGGAGUACGGCCGCAAGGCUA
rnacentral:rRNA from 1 species